GCGGCCUAUCAGCUUGUUGGUGAGGUAAUGGCUCACCAAGGCGACGACGGGUAGCCGGCCUGAGAGGGCGACCGGCCACACUGGGACUGAGACACGGCCCAGACUCCUACGGGAGGCAGCAGUGGGGAAUAUUGGGCAAUGGAGGGAACUCUGACCCAGCGACGCCGCGUGCGGGAUGAAGGCCUUCGGGUUGUAAACCGCUUUCAGCAAGGAAGAAGCGAAAGUGACGGUACUUGCAGAAGAAGCACCGGCUAACUAUGUGCCAGCAGCCGCGGUAAUACAUAGGGUGCAAGCGUUGUCCGGAACUAUUGGGCGUAAAGAGCUCGUAGGUGGUUCGUCACGUCGGAUGUGAAAAUCUGGGGCUUAACCCCAGACCUGCAUUCGAUACGGGCGAGCUAGAGUGUGGUAGGGGAGACUGGAAUUCCU
rnacentral:rRNA from 1 species